rnacentral:rRNA from 1 species
ACGGGGUGCAGCAGGCGCGAAAACUCCACAAUGUACGACAGUACGAUGGGGUUAUCUCGAGUGCAGUCCGAUAAGGGCUGCUUUUCCAUAGAGUAAUAUCCUGUGGGAAUAAGAGGGGGGCAAGACUGGUGUCAGCCGCCGCGGUAACACCAGCCCCUCGAGUGGUGGGGACUAUUAUUUGGCCUAAAGCGUCCGUAGCUGGCUGUAUCCGUCCCCCGUUAAAUCCAGCGUCCUAAGCGUUGGACUGCGGGUGAUCCCAUACAGCUAGAGGGUGGGAUAGGUGAGCGGUAUUUCUGGGGCAGGGGCGAAAUCCUUUGAUCCCAGGAGGACCACCAGUGGCGAAGGCUGCUCACUAGAACACGCCUGACGGUCAGGGACGAAAGCUGGGGCAGCGAACCGGAUUAGAUACCCGGGUAGUCCCAGCUGUAAACGAUGCCAGCUAGGUGUUGGGUCGGCCACGCGCCGCCCCAGUGCCGCAGGGAAGCCGUUAAGCUGGCCGCCUGGGGAGUACGGCCGCAAGGCUGAAACUUAAAGGAAUUGGCGGGGGAGCAC